AGGACGAACGCUGGCGGCGUGCUUAACACAUGCAAGUCGAGCGGAAAGGCCCUUCGGGGUACUCGAGCGGCGAACGGGUGAGUAACACGUGAGCAACCUGCCCCUGGCUCUGGGAUAGCCUUCGGAAAACGGGGAUUAAUACCGGAUAUUCACUGCUUCCUGCAUGGGGGGUGGUGGAAAGUUUUUCGGCUGGGUGGGGCUCGCGGCCUAUCAGCUUGGUUGGGGGGUGACGGCCCACCGAAGGCGACGACGGGUA
rnacentral:rRNA from 1 species